rnacentral:rRNA from 1 species
AACGAACGCUGGCGGCAUGCCUAACACAUGCAAGUCGAACGGCAGCACGGGAGCAAUCCUGGUGGCGAGUGGCGAACGGGUGAGUAAUAUAUCGGAACGUGCCCAGUCGUGGGGAUAACGUAGCGAAAGUUACGCUAAUACCGCAUACGAUCUAAGGAUGAAAGCGGGGGAUCGCAAGACCUCGCGCGAUUGGAGCGGCCGAUAUCAGAUUAGGUAGUUGGUGAGGUAAUGGCUCACCAAGGCGACGAUCCGUAACUGGUCUGAGAGGAUGAUCAGUCACACUGGAACUGAGACACGGUCCAGACUCCUACGGGAGGCAGCAGUGGGGAANAUUGGACAAUGGGCGAAAGCCUGAUCCAGCCAUGCCGCGUGUGUGAAGAAGGUCUUCGGAUUGUAAAGC